rnacentral:tRNA from 1 species
AUUUUUCUAGUACAACGUAGUAUAAGUGACUUCCAAUCACCCGAUCUUGGUUAAAAACCACGGAAAAAUA